CGCAGGAAGUAGAUCUGCGGUUGGACGUUGAGGCCAAUAUCCGGCUGGCUAUCUGUUCUCUCGCGCCGGAAGUCCGAGCCAGAAGCGAUGGUCUCACUCGAAACGUCCUCGUAAUCCGAGCCCAAGUCCCACUUGACGGAAGGCCUUUUGGGCUGUGUGGAGGGCUCUGGCGGACUAGAAUCAGAAAAGCUAGCAAAGCGGAAUACCAUGAUGGAAGGACGAGGACACGGAGCGACUAUCUACACAGGAGCCUAAGGCGGAGCGCUGCGCGUUGCCAGGGAAACGUACAGGGCAGAGGGACCUGCAGGCGGACCUCGUGACAGUGUUUUGGCGUUCUUUGUGACUCUCAGCUGGGCGUGUUGCCUAGGAGACAGACGGGCGAGUGGGCGGGGCGUGCAGGCCAUGGGCAGAGCAAUGGUCCUUCCGGUUGCUUGGCGCGUUUCCGUGGAGACGGGCGGGUCCGCUCUGCUGCAGCCCACCCGGCUUUUCGGAGGCGUUUGGGAACUGCGCGAGUCCGACGAGGUACAGAAUCAGUCGCGGGGGUUCCUGUAGGCCCAGAACUGUCCAUUGUUCCGCGAGGAGAAGUCGUUGCCACUGAGAUCCGGAAUCAUGAAGGGCCCUCUCUGUUUUAGAGACGGUCGCCCGCGGCUCCGCCCUGCAGUUGCUUCCUGAAAGAUUUCCGGGGUACUGAGGGAAGGAGGGUUCAUAGCCUAGCAGAAAGAUGAAAGCUUAACACGUCACCAACUGUUGACCUCCACCUUGAUGACUUCACCUUGGAGUGCCUGCCCAGUUCAAUUCCCACAGCCCUCAAUCAGUGGCCUCUCACAGAUCACCAAGAGCCUGUUUAUCAGCAAUGGUGCGGCUGCCAACGACAAGCUCCUACUGUCCAGCAAUCAGAUCACCACGGUGAUCAAUGUCUCAGUAGAGAUAGCGAACACCUUCUAUGAGGACAUCCAGUACGUGCAGGUGCCUGUGGUGGAUGCGCCCAUCGCGCACCUCUCCGAUUUCUUCGACCCCAUCGCUGACCACAUCCAUUCGGUGGAGAUGAAGCAGGGCCGAACGCUGCUGCAUUGCGCUGCUGGCGUGAGUCGCUCGGCCGCCCUGUGCCUCGCGUACCUCAUGAAGUACCAUGCCAUGUCCCUCCUAGAUGCCCACGCUUGGACCAAAUCACGCAGGCCCAUCAUCCGGCCCAACAGUGGCUUUUGGGAGCAGCUCAUCCAUUAUGAGUUCCAGUUGUUUGGCAAGAAUACGAUGCAGAUGGUUAACUCUCCCAUGGGACUGAUCCCCGACAUCUACGAGAAGGAGACCCGUAUGAUGAUUCCACUGAGUACACCAGAUGGUGCUUUUCAUAAGGGCAAGGAAAAAGCGUUGCUAUGACAUUUACCCUCGUAAUCCAGCCAGGUUUGGUGGUACAUGCCUGUAGCCUCAGAUUGCUGAAGCAGGAAGAUGACAAGACAGAAUCUGACUUGGUAGCCCCAGCUGGCUUUGAACUCAUCACUCUCCCAGGAUGUCAGGGUUGCGGGCAUCACACCUGCCUCAAAGGUACUUUCAUGUCAGCGUCUGAACACACUCAGCCUCUGCUGCACACACACAGCAGUGACCUCUUGGCCUAUCCCCACGUUGCCCCUUCCCUAGCUGUGUAACAGUCACCUCUCUGCCUCAGUCUCCUUGUGGAGGGGGGCAGGAGAGCACUUACACUCCGUGUACAACUCUCAGCACUGAGGCCGACACCAUCCUCUGAAUCUGAGGACUGACGGGGAGUCUGCCACAGCCUGUGUCACAUCCAAGGAUGUCCUCUGCUGCUCUGUCACCAGCACUGUGGCUGGAGAGCUCCCUUGGCAGCCUUGUCAAGCCCCCCACCACACCUGUGCCCACCUUGCGCUCGAUACAACUUCUGUCUUGCUAAGUACAGCGCUCUACUCUCUGGGGACUCAAAGGAAGUUCUGAAACACAGGUGGCUACAGAAGACAGCAGGCUCGGCUGCUGGCCGGCACCUCAUUUGCUUGCCUCUCUGGGUCUGAGGGCAACACCAUACAGACGAUUCCGUACAUCCCCCUGUAUCUGCAGCCAGCCCAAGUAGAAAAGAAGAGGCUGUCUAGGGCUGCCUGAGCUCUCUUUCUGGACUCCUACCGACUGCUCUCAGGCCUUUCAGGGAAGGAGUGAGCUAGCACCGGUACACUCUCUGGCUGGCCCAAGAGCCCUUAGCAAAACAGACUUCCUCUUUUUAGAAACCCAUUCCUAAUCCUGGAUCCAGUCACUCUCCUCAUCUCUGCUAGGCUCCCAUUUGAUAGGGGAACCUCCAGCUCUCUAAGGGCUCUUUACCAACCUGACGUCAACUGGCAUCAAAACCAUCAAUUAAAGACAUCAUCUGAAUUUCUUCCCUACACCAGGCCCCAGGCCGGGGGCUGAGGACACAGAGAUGACCCAGCACACAGCCUGGGAACCAAAUGGCCCACAGCUGUCGAAGUAAAGGACACCCAAUGCGCACUCAGUGUAAGAAGUCGAGUCUUGGGGGUUGGAGAGAUGGCUCAGUGGCUAAGAGCACUGACUGCUCUUCCAGAGGUCCUGAGUUCAAUUCCCAGCAACCACAUGGUGGCUCACAGCCAUCUGUGAUGGGAUCUGAUGCCCUCUUCUGGUGUGUCUGAAGACAGCUACAGUAUAUUCAUAUACAUAAACUAAAUAAUUCUAAAAAAAAAAAAAUCUUAAAAAAAAAAAAGAGGUCCAGUCUUGAGAGAGAGAGGAAAGGAGCCAGCAGAAACCAAGAGGUGUCUGCCAGUCACAUGCUACUAUGAACAGACCUGAGCACCCUAAUGCCUGGCUGGCCACAGCUCCUCCUAUAGACAGGAGCUGCCCAGAGCCCAGUAUGAGGAGGACUUGGCUCUGGCAGGUGCAAUUGGGGCUGGAAGCUGGGCAUUCUCUGCCUAGUGUCCCUACCCAGAAAGGCCCUUCAGAGUCAGGUUUCUCUGAGCCACUUCAAGGCCCAAUUCAGGCCUCAGCUCAUGUAACCUGAGGGCUAAAAUAGAACUGUGUUUUCACCCUGCUCACGGCCUGGAGAGACAGUGACGGGACCUUCGGGGCCCAGAUGGAAGAUGCCAGGCAGGGCUAAGGCCUCACUUCGCCGUUCCUCACUGCAGGCUACACUAACCAUAGCUCAACGCCCCUGGGAACCCCUUACUUUCUACACGCUCCUCCUCCUUCCUUGAGUUAUGGUGGAGGAAGGGAAGAGCUAUGACUCAAAAGCCCCUCCAUGCUCAGGAGAUCAGCCUCCACCCCCGGCAUACUGGGGCUGGGUGGGGAAGGAUACCUUCCUUCUACCCUGAGUCCUGCUUCUGCCCACUCACAAGAGGCCAGCAUCCAGUCACUCAGACCAGACUUGGAAGUCCUCGUGACCCUGGGCCAAUCAUAAACCUCUUUGGCAGCACUCAGGAGGUUGAGUCAGGAGGAUCACAAGUUUGAGGCCAGCCUGAGCUUCCCUGCCCUGCCCCUCCCCCAGUAAAACACUCUCUUAUUCAUUCCAUCACCUCUGAUGUGAAGACAAAGAUGGGAAUUGCCAUGACAACCGAUGACCAACACCCAGAACCAGGUUCAUCACACUGCAGCUCCUGGUAAACGCUGCUUGGGCUCUGACAAACCCCUGUGUUCCCAACCAGCUCCAGACCCUUCUGCCUUUCCUUUUCUUCCCUAGAUUGUGCUCCCUGGCCUUCUGGAUUCAUAAUCCUAGGACACACAGCAUGGAGUCUGAAUACCACGCUCAAAUCGUGCCUCUGCUGUUCGCUGGCACAAGGCCCAGGUUCUGCACGUCUGUCAAGCGGGGAUAAUAAAGUGCUUGCUUCAAUGAGAGGCAGUAGGAUGGAGUGGGACAAAAGGACUCUCGAGUUAUAGAACACAGCUCACCAACAACUGUCAUUAACUAUGCCUCUAAGGCUUAAGUUUGAGGCCUGAACUCGCUGGAUCCUCUCUCCGAGCCGUGUCCGUAAAAGAGGAUCACUGCCACCCCCUCACAGCAACAAGGCGGCUACACACCCCACCUCCUCAGAUGGCGACCCAGGCACUCACUCUGUUGAACAGACUUGAAGCCUCGGAGACAGGUGGCCACCAGCAAGAAGCCACAACCAGCAGGAGGUGCCCGGAGCUCUCCAGCCAGACUGCAUGCAGCCCCUAGGCAGAGCGGACCCAUGGCAGCAAACUGCAGGGGAUGGUGUCUUCGGCCAAGCAGCAACGCGGACAAGGCCAAAGUGAACAGUGGUGUGGUGGUGGUGGCUAGCUGUGCUAGGUCCAAGGGGACAGUGCUCAGGCCCACGUUGCCACACGCCAUGGAGGUCCCGAAGGUGAGGCUGAGUAACAGCACCCUGCGGUGGAUGCUAGGGGGCACGGGUCGCUGGGCCCCCCAGUGGCAUGCCACAGCGGCUGCCAGCAUGUGCAGGGCUGACAAUAACAGGGGCCGUCCGAAGCCAUGCACUGUGAAGAUCCACUUGUUGAGACUUGACAUGCUGGCUCCUGCCAACAGCCACACCAGUGCUGCCACAACCACUCUUGCCGGAGCAGGCUGCCCAAGGACUUGAGGUUUGUCAGGAGGCCACUUGGGACGGCCAUGCUCCUGGGCACUUCCAGCCACAGCAACUGCUUCGGCUGAGGUCAUCCUGACUUCAUGGUGCUCCAGUGGGCAGCGGCACAUCCGCACCAGUAGGGCUGGGGCAGGAAGGCAGGCUUUUCCAGGGACUCGCUGAGCCAGGUCCUGAUUCCUCAGAUAGGAGAGGGCACUGCUUCAGGUGCUAGACCCUGAGCCAGCCGAUAAUUCUGGUUCCGUCAGAGAAGAACCGAGGUCGUGGCUGCUGAGAUGCCGGACUGGCUGGUGCCCCCAGGCCUCGUAAGCCCUGGGCACCUCCCGCACCAGGGGAGGUCUUCUCCCUCCUCCUCGCCCCGAGCUCACGCGAUGGUUUUACACAGAAUCCGCUUGCCUUUUUCCAUCUUCGGUCCCCAGACUGUCAGGAUGAGGACACUGAUCCCGACCUCCUGUGUGUUUGGUGCUCAGGCCGUGACCAGGCCAGGCAGGGUCGAUAAUGUUCCCAGCGUGGGAAUGGAGGUCGCAGUCCCCCUCCUCCAGCCCCCCUUCGCCUCUUACUGUGCGGGGAAUAGACGCUGAUGAGCCGGCAGACGCAGAACCGCGAGCUCGGACUGGCUGCAGCUGCGCAGGCUGCUCUGACUGCGGCUCCGCUCCCGCGGUGGAUCUGGCAGCUUCGGGCACCGGGCUCUAGAACCUCCCAAGCGCGCCCGCGGCUCCGCGCUCCCGGCCCCGCCCUCUCCGCGGCUACCGAAGCAGCGCUCCACCCGGAAAGUUCGGCUCAGCCCGGGCCCCACCCACAAGGACCAGCGGGGGAGCCCGGGGACGUCUAGCCCCUCCCACAGCCUUUGCGCCUCCCCGGCUGGGCUUGCGCAGCUGCGGCAGAGUCUUUUAGUGGAGAGUGAGGGCUGUACCAGCCACCAACGGGAAUCCGGAUUGUCUGCAGCGCUAAGGGCCUUCCUUAAAGACCAGUAUCAGUGUUGACAACCCUGGGGCAACCUGCAGAGCCGUCCCAAAGUUGUCUGUCGUCAAGAAGCAGGGCGUUGAAAAGGGACAUACGACAUCACCUGAUCCCAGACCACAAAUGUCUCCUUGAGAUCUUGGAAUUAAACGGAGCUAGACCACGUGGUCCCUUAAGGCUGCCUCAUCUUAUUUCCCCUCCAUUCCUCUCCAGAUCUUUUCUCCCCCUCUCAGGCCAGGGCGGCGCCCCCUCUGGGGCAGCAGAAGGGAAAAUGAAUCACCAAAGCUAACCACAGCUUCGGGAAGCAGGGUACCGCGGGCCGGCAUCCAUCCCGAGCUUGCCCACUUUGUGUACUGCUCCCUAGGCACUCCGAGGUGACUCACAGCUGGAUUUCAUGGGGCCCACCCAGCAGAAUCCUGGAUGGGUUUUGGGUUUCCCAUCCGAAAAAUAGAUGCCUCUGAUUUCCAGUUAGGGUAAGCAGCUGAACCCCAGGGGCUGGUUCCAAACCCAACUUGCUCCACGUGAGCAAGAACAAGGUCCAUCCUGGGCUAGCCCCUUUGCGGUAAUUGGAUUUCUGGGGAAGCUCCCGCCCACCUGGACAGGCCCCACCCGGCUGUCGCCUAACAAGUACUGGAUGACAACCUGCCUAGAGAAAUAAAAUGGCAAAGCGAGACUGUGUAGCUCGGCCCGCAGCGCCCUCUGGUGGUCGUGACUCCGCACGGUUGCAAGCGUUCCUAAUCCCUUCACUAUGAAAUAAAGGUGAAGUCAGUCAGUUCCCACCGGAGACCUCUGUCCCAGAUGAACCAGGAAUCUACAUUGUCACACUUGCCUCCGAUGAGUUUGAUGCCUGCGGGAGCCCGUAGAUCGCUGCUGAGUAACCCAAGUUGAAGGGCAGCGAGUGUAGAUAGGAGACUUCCAGGAAGAGAACCAAAAUCUGGGGCAUUUAGUUUUUCCAAGAAGAGUUGUGGGAAGGAAACUGAAUCAACCCCCUCCCAUCCCCACACGCGAGCUGUAUUCCUCUGGAAUUUUUAAUCCAUUAUCUACUACGCUUCUUUCAAUUAAAAGGUAUUUCUUCCAA